GGCCCAGUUGCACAAGGUGUGCAUCUGCUUUCAUUUGUCGACUCGAGAAUUGCAGCAGAAGGACCUGGUUCGACUCCAGGCUGGGUCA